rnacentral:rRNA from 1 species
AUGUUUCCCGAGAGAGACUGCCUUCUCUCAGGCCAUCAGUCUUAUCCUUAUAGUCGACUGCUCUAUGACGAUCUGACCUCUUUCCUGGGCUCUGCUUGCUCGUCUACGCUCCGACCAAUUCAGUCAAAAUCGAAAAAAUGAUGUUUCCUUGAAAAAGUCUAA